GAGUUUGAUCCUGGCUCAGGACGAACGCUGGCGGCGUGCUUAACACAUGCAAGUCGAACGAAGAACGAUGGGAGCUUGCUCCUAUCAAUCUUAGUGGCGAACGGGUGAGUAACGCGUAAUCAACCUGCCCUUCAAUGGGGGACAACAGUUGGAAACGACUGCUAAUACCGCAUACGAUCGUAAUUCGGCAUCGAGAUACGAUGAAAGGUGGCCUCUAUUUAUAAGCUAUCGUUGAAGGAGGGGAUUGCGUCUGAUUAGUUAGUUGGAGGGGUAACGGCCCACCAAGGCAAUGAUCAGUAGCCGGUCUGAGAGGAUGAACGGCCACAUUGGGACUGAGACACGGCCCAAACUCCUACGGGAGGCAGCAGUGGGGAAUCUUCCGCAAUGGACGAAAGUCUGACGGAGCAACGCCGCGUGAGUGAUGAAGGUCUUCGGAUUGUAAAGCUCUGUUAAUCGGGACGAAAGAGCCUAGUGUGAAUAAUGCUAGGAAGUGACGGUACCGGAAUAGAAAGCCACGGCUAACUACGUGCCAGCAGCCGCGGUAA
rnacentral:rRNA from 1 species